rnacentral:rRNA from 1 species
GAUGAACGCUGGCGGCGUGCCUAAUACAUGCAAGUCGAACGAGGUCUUCGGACCUAGUAGCGAACGGGUGAGUAACACGUUGGUACCUACCCCGAAGUGGGGAAUAACUGCCCGAAAGGGUGGCUAAUACCGCAUAAUACCGCAAGGUUAAAGCAGUAAUGCGCUUCGGGAGGGGCCUGCGUCCCAUUAGCUAGUUGGUAGGGUAAUGGCCUACCAAGGCGACGAUGGGUAGCUGGAUCGAGAGGUUGAACAGCCACACUGGGACUGAGAUACGGCCCAGACUCCUACGGGAGGCAGCAGUAAGGAAUCUUCCACAAUGGACGAAAGUCUGAUGGAGCAACGCCGCGUGCAGGAUGACGGCCUUCGGGUUGUAAACUGCUUUUAUACGGGAAGAUUAUGACGGUACCGUAUGAAUAAGGACCGGCUAACUACGUGCCAGCAGCCGCAGUAA